rnacentral:rRNA from 1 species
ACGUCAAGUCCUCAUGGCCCUUAUGACCUGGGCUACACACGUGCUACAAUGGCGGUGACAAUGAGCAGCGAUGGCGCAAGCUUCAGCUAAUCUCAAAAAUCCGUCUCAGUUCAGAUUGAACUCUGCAACUCGAGUUCAUGAAGUUGGAAUCGCUAGUAAUCGCAGAUCAGCAUGCUGCGGUGAAUACGUUCCCGGGCCUU